AUGGCGCAAGAAAAUACCAAAUUGUGUGAUUUCUCCAAUGCCAAUAAUAAUGAUUUCCUUAGCACUCCGAUGUCUCCUCUUAAUGAUGUUGAGUCUUGUGAAAUCAAUGCUGCUUUGCUGAAUCUUGUUAUGAAAGAUCAAUUCGCCGACCUUCCUAGUGAAGAUGCCGCUACUCAUCUAAACAACUUUGUUGAUUUGCGUGAUAUGCAAAAUAAGAAAGAUACGAAUAAUGAUAUUGUUAAAUUGAAGUUAUUUCCGUUUUCACUUAGAGAUCAUGCUAAAGUUUGGUUUUCGUCUUUGCCUAAAAAUAGUAUUGAUUCUUGGAACAAGUGCGAAGAUGCUUUUAUCUCUAAGUAUUUUCCUCCUGCUAAGAUUAUCACUCUUAGGAACGAUAUUACGGAUUUUAAACAACUCGAUCAUGAGCAUGUUGCCCAAUCUUGGGAAAGAAUGAAAUUGAUGAUUCGCAAUUGCCCUACUCAUGGUUUGAAUUUAUGGAUGAUCAUUCAAAAAAUUUAUGCCGGUUUGACCUUCGCUUCUAGAAAUCUUUCAGAUUCAGCCGCGGGAGGCACGUUUAUGGAAAUCAAGUUAGGAGAUGCUACAGAAAUUCUUGAUAAUAUUAUGGCUAAUUAUUCUCAAUGGCACACCGAAAGAUCUUCUAGUAAAAAAGUGCAUGCUAUAGAAGAAAUCAAUGUUUUGAGUGGAAAGAUGGAUGAACUUAUGAAGUUGUUUGCUACUAAAAAUACUCCUCUUGAUCCCAAUGAUAAGCCUUUGUCUACUUUGAUUGAUAAUAAUAAUGAAUCUAUGGAUGUGAAUUUUGUUGGUAGGAAUAGUUUUGGAAACAAUGCUUAUAGAGGAAACUUUAAUUCUAGACCGUUCCCUAGUAAUUCCUCUAAUAAUUAUGGAAAUUUCUACAAUAAUUCUUAUUGUAAUUUUAAUAAGACACCCUCUGAUUUUGAGAAUAGUGUGAAAGAAUUUAUGAUCUCUCAAAAGAAUUUAAUGCUUUGCUUGAAGAAAAGUUGCUCAAAGUUGAUGAUUUGGCUAGGAACCUUGAUAGACUUUUGCUUGAUGUUGAUUCUCUUAAACUUAGAUCUACUCCUCCUAAGCAUGAUAUCAAUGAGUCUCUCAAAGUAA
rnacentral:rRNA from 1 species